rnacentral:lncRNA from 10 species
CUUUAAAGCAGAGCAUUUUCUCUGUGGCUGGUAGAAGAGGAAGUAAGAGAUUGAAUGGGUGAGAGGGAUUCAAUGGGAAUAGAGAACAGAGGUUCUCAUUGCUGAGAUGGCAGGGGUCAUAGGGCAAAGACCAGAGAAGCCACUAGGAGCUAAGAACAGGCCCGACCAGCAGUCAGAAAGGAAACAGGGAUCUCAGGCCUGCGGCUGCAAGGAACUGAACACUGCCAACCACCUGAGGUCUGCGGCAGCUGUCAAGCAUCUCAGUAACUCUGGCUGGAGGAUGAGGCCUGACUUUACAUAAGCCCCUGUCACGGACUUGCUGGAGUGUUACCUCUUUGAAGCCUCACUCCCGCCCGUUAGGAAGCUGCUGCAGUCCUGACUCCUGCGUCACAGCUGUGAAGGGGAGAUGGCCACUUUGGACCACGAGAAAUAUCAAUAUCAAACGCCCUUUCUUUUCAUGCCCUCACCUUCCUCACCCAGUGUCAGCUCAUAUCAGGGGGCCCUGAGCUUCCUGGAAGGUCACCUUACCAGUCCUCUGCAGGACCGAGGCUGUGUGGACGGAGGCUGUGUGGAUGGAGAUCCCACCAUCACCGAGUUCGGGCAAGUCCCAUGAGGGUCUCAGCUCCUCAUCCGUAACAUCAGGAUGAUAAAGCCUCCCUCGCAGGAUGGCCGUGCGAGUGCCCAGAUCCCAGGAGAGGGCUGGUAAAUGGGCGUUGCCUGCCCCAUCCCUUUCUACCUGCACGGAAAAGGAGAGAUGGCCCAGCCUCAGGUCAUCAGGACCCUUGAGCCAACCCUGCAUCUCAGCCCUGACUCCCACCCAGAAUGCCGGCCUUCCUCACCAAGGGUCUGGCUGACACCUCUGCGAUGCUCAUCACUAGUCACUUGGGAUUCCCUGGUGAUAUGGUUUGGCUGUGUCCCCACCCAACUCUCAUCUUGAAUUGUAGUUCCCAUAAUCCCCACAUGUCAUGGGAGGGACGGGGUGGAGAUAAUUCAAUCAUGGAGCGGUUUCCUCUGUCCUGUUCUCAUGAUAGUGAGCUAGUUCUCACGAGAUCUGAUUGUUUUAUAAAGGGCUUCUUUCUUCGCUGGGCACUCAUUCUCUCUCCUGCCAUCAUGUGAAGAGGGUCUUUGCUUCCCCUUUACUUUCCAUCAUGAUUGUAAGUUUCCUGAGGUCUCCCCAGCCAUGCGGAACUGUGAGUCAAUUAAACCUCUUUCCUUUAUAAAUUACCCAGUCUUGGGUAUUCCUUCAUAGAAGCAUGAGAAUAGACUAGUACACCUGGGGAGCAAGGCCUAGGGUGAAAAGUGAAGCUCAGAGCAGUUACCCUCC